rnacentral:rRNA from 1 species
UACGGAGGGGGACUAGCGUUGUUCGGAAUUACUGGGCGUAAAGCGCACGUAGGCGGAUUUGUAAGUCAGGGGUGAAAUCCCGGGGCUCAACCUCGGAACUGCCUUUGAUACUGCAAAUCUCGAGUCCGGAAGAGGUGAGUGGAAUUCCUAGUGUAGAGGUGAAAUUCGUAGAUAUUAGGAAGAACACCAGUGGCGAAGGCGGCUCACUGGUCCGGUACUGACGCUGAGGUGCGAAAGCAUGGGGAGCGAACAGG